rnacentral:rRNA from 1 species
UACGUAGGGGGCGAGCGUUAUCCGGAUUUAUUGGGCGUAAAGCGUGCGCAGGCGGCUUAUUAAGUUUAAGAUUAAAGCCCGGGGCUUAACUCCGGUUCGUCUUAAAAACUGGUAGGCUUGAGUGCGGUAGAGGUAAAUGGAAUUUCUAGUGUAGCGGUGAAAUGCGUAGAUAUUAGAAGGAACACCAGUGGCGAAGGCGAUUUACUGGGCCGUAACUGACGCUCAAGCACGAAAGCGUGGGUAGC